GUGCCAGCAGCCGCGGUAAUACGUAGGUGGCGAGCGUUGUCCGGAUUUACUGGGCGUAAAGGGCGUGCAGGCGGUUUGCUAAGUCUAGGGUGAAAGCUCCCGGCUUAACUGGGAGAGGUCCUUGGAUACUGGCAGACUUGAGGAGGGUAGAGGAGAGUGGAAUUCCCGGUGUAGUGGUGAUAUGCGUAGAUAUCGGGAGGAACACCAGUGGCGAAGGCGGCUCUCUGGGCCCUACCUGACGCUGAGACGCGAAAGCGUGGGGAGCGAACCGGAUUAGAAACCCUCGUAGUCC
rnacentral:rRNA from 1 species